rfam:Toxocara canis scaffold1367, whole genome shotgun sequence.
GGCCGCGUGGCGAAAUGGAUAACGGGUCGGUCUUCGGAACCGAAGAUUGCAGGUUGGAGUCCUGCGUGGUCG